ensembl:lncRNA
AUUAAACUCCAUAGGGAGUUUGGGCCUGGACGUUCUCCCUGUGUGUUUUCCCCUAGGCUUCCCGCGCACGUCUAUUCUUGAUCCUUUUUAUCUGAACAACCUGAACUGGACCGGUGAUACAGCCAUGGACUGUUUAAUCUCUCUCCAACUCACUCUACUCCCCUGUCAAAUACAGACAAUACUAAUUAUUUCAAUACCUUAUAAUAUGAAUUAAAUUAGACGGGACCGUAUCUUUAAGUUCACUCCUAGAGGUGCGUACGGACUGAACGCGGGUCUGUGGUACACACGCAGCUGGAAUGCACACGGAAUCCAAGUCCUGUGAUGGGAUAGGUGAAGGCGACUUCUGGAACAGGAUUCUUUGAAAUUUCAUGUAGACAAGUGCAAGCUAAUGUUCACUGGAAGGAACAACCGAAGCAGCUUCCACUCACUGAUGGGCUCUGAAUUACUCCACUUGUAAGUGCUCAGGAAAAAGAUCUCAGAUUCAUUGUGGAUUGCUCAAUGGAGACAUCUGCUCGCCGCGCAGCAGCAGUCAGAAGAAUGAAUGAGAGAUAAUAGGCUGUAUUAACUUUGAGAAUGGGAUAAAGAAGAAUGCAGAAAAUAAUAUAGUGCACAUAAUUUGGCAUUGACUAUUUCUGUAAUUACAAUAAAACAUUUUAAUGAUAUACAU